UUCUGCCUACGGGGGGCAGCAGUGGGGGAUAUUGCACAAUGGGGGAAACCCUGAUGCAGCGACGCCGCGUGGGUGACGAAGUAUUUCGGUAUGUAAAGCCCUAUCAGCAGGGAAGAAGAUGACAGUACCUGACUAAGAAGCCCCGGCUAACUACGUGCCAGCAGCCGCGGUAAUACGUAGGGGGCAAGCGUUAUCCGGAUUUACUGGGUGUAAAGGGAGCGUAGACGGCUGUGCAAGUCUGAAGUGAAAUGCCGGG
rnacentral:rRNA from 1 species